rnacentral:rRNA from 1 species
AUUGAACGCUGGCGGCAGGCUUAACACUUGCAAGUCGAGCGGAGAUGAGGUGCUUGCACCUUAUCUUAGCGGCGGACGGGUGAGUAAUGCUUAGGAAUCUGCCUAUUAGUGGGGGACAACAUUCCGAAAGGAAUGCUAAUACCGCAUACGCCCUACGAGGGAAAGCAGGGGAUCUUCGGACCUUGCGCUAAUAGAUGAGCCUAAGUCGGAUUAGCUAGUUGGUGGGGUAAAGGCCUACCAAGGCGACGAUCUGUAGCGGGUCUGAGAGGAUGAUCCGCCACACUGGGACUGAGACACGGCCCAGACUCCUACGGGAGGCAGCAGUGGGGAAUAUUGGACAAUGGGCGGAAGCCUGAUCCAGCCAUGCCGCGUGUGUGAAGAAGGCCUUUUGGUUGUAAAGCACUUUAAGCGAGGAGGAGGCUACCUGGAUUAAUACUCUAGGAUAGUGGACGUUACUCGCAGAAUAAGCACCGGCUAACUCUGUGCCAGCAGCCGCCGCAG